AAAAUUACUCCGUAAAUUAUAAUACACUCAACCUAUUACUAAUUCAGCUAGGAUGAUGGUCUGAUUAAUCGGCAAGGCGAUCUGGUGAUGUCCAUCUUUCCAUUUCCUAGGACUCCCUCUGAAACGCUGUCAUUUUCCCUCUCUCCAUGUCAAAGAAGAAUGAUUUAGGAAUGACCCAUUUCCAGAUUUUGAGAAACAGAUAUAGGGUAGUAGUGUGGAGAUAUAGUGUACAGAAAUAAUAAGAGUAUGAUGGUGGGGAUGUUGAUUAGCGUGCAACGCUUGAUGGACUUGAUGGUCGCCGGAUUCUCUCUGGUGAUCGUGCUUUGGAUUUUCGCCUUCAUUGCUUCAAUUCUCUGCUGUAUUGCUUUCUUCCAAAAUGCCAAGGAAUUUUCCUGAUUCGAGAUGACCCAAUUGCCCAAAUUACGGAUUUUUGCUAGGUUAGAGUUAAUAGGAAAAGAAAAACCGAAAAACAUGAAGCACCAAGCAUUCAGUUGAAUAACAUGCCAAGUUGAGAACUUCACAGUUUGGGCAUGGAGUCCCAUCACUUCUGUUACUUAUUUGUUGUUUGUAUUUGUAGAUAAUCUUCUUGAAAAUUAGAGCAGAAUGUUUUUUUUUUUUUUUUUUUUUAAUAGAUGAAUUAUUAUGGAUCUGUUUGAAUAUUAGAUCCUCAAAAAUGACAAUGACUUUUUAAUCCAAUUUUUAUUAUAGAUGAAUUUUAAUCCAA